rnacentral:rRNA from 1 species
CCCUUAGAGUUUGAUCCUGGCUCAGGAUGAACGCUUUCGGGAGGCUUAACACAUGCAAGUCGAGGGGUAUAAGUAGCAAUAUUCAGAGACCGGCGCACGGGUGAGUAACGCGUAUGCAACCAGCCUGUUACAGGGGGAUAGCCCGGAGAAAUACGGAUUAAUACCGCAUAGUUUCGUUAUACCGCAUGGUAUUACAAAUAAAGUUGAGGCGGUAACAGAUGGGCAUGCGUGACAUUAGCUAGUUGGUGAGGUAACGGCUCACCAAGGCUACGAUGUCUAGGGGUUCUGAGAGGAAGAUCCCCCACACUGGUACUGAGACACGGACCAGACUCCUACGGGAGGCAGCAGUGAGGAAUAUCGGUCAAUGGGCGAGAGCCUGAACCAGCCAUCCCGCGUGCAGGAAGAAUGCCCUAUGGGUAGUACACUGCUGUACCACAUGAAGAACAUCCCGAACGUGUCCGGGACUGACGGUAGUGCGUGAAUAAGCACCGGCUAACUCCGUGCCAGCAGCCGCGGUAAUAC